rnacentral:rRNA from 1 species
GGGCGUCGAGCGGCGGACGGGUGAGUAAUGCCUAGGAAAUUGCCUUGAUGUGGGGGAUAACCAUUGGAAACGAUGGCUAAUACCGCAUAAUGCCUACGGGCCAAAGAGGGGGAUCUUCGGACCUCUCGCGUCAAGAUAUGCCUAGGUGGGAUUAGCUAGUUGGUGAGGUAAUGGCUCACCAAGGCGACGAUCCCUAGCUGGUCUGAGAGGAUGAUCAGCCACACUGGAACUGAGACACGGUCCAGACUCCUACGGGAGGCAGCAGUGGGGAAUAUUGCACAAUGGGCGAAAGCCUGAUGCAGCCAUGCCGCGUGUAUGAAGAAGGCCUUCGGGUUGUAAAGUACUUUCAGUUGUGAGGAAGGGGGUAGUGUUAAUAGCGCUAUCUCUUGACGUUAGCAACAGAAGAAGCACCGGCUAACUCCGUGCCAGCAGCCGCGGUAAUACGGAGGGUGCGAGCGUUAAUCGGAAUUACUGGGCGUAAAGCGCAUGCAGGUGGUUCAUUAAGUCAGAUGUGAAAGCCCGGGGCUCAACCUCGGAACUGCAUUU